rnacentral:lncRNA from 1 species
GCGGCGGCAGCGGCAAAAACUCUGGCUGUGUCCAGGCCUGGCUGACGCUGGAGGCAGCGCCCAGGAUUUUUUUCCCACUUGUUGGCUCUUGCUAUUGAGACCUAAUCUUUUUCUACUGAGAUGAAGUCCCUGUUUAUUUUAAGUCCCCGUUGCUCGCUUGCCUAUUUCUCGGUCAGACUGCACAUUGGCUGAAGGUCCCGUCAAUCUCCGGGGGGAAAACCAGCCUUUGGACACCUCGGAAAAAUAUUGCUCUGAACCCCAUCGUGCUGAAAUGAGGGGUUCUGAAGAAAACCAAGAGAUUCGGAAAAUGGCUCCAGAUCAACUCAAGUCGGACACCCCUACUUCUACCCAUGCUUCAGAGUGCUGGACAAGAUGUUGAAAAGAAAGCAGACCUUUAUAGAACCUUUCAGUUCUUACCAUAUAGAUAACCAGAUUCUCCAGCUACUGAGAGAAGAGUGGGAGAAGAGACCAUUCCCAACACUUCCAAUAACCCAGUGCUAUGGACUGAAUUGUGCCCCCAUCAAACUCAUGUGUGACCCCUGGUGUAAUGGUAUUUGGAGACGGGGCCUUUGGUAGGAGUGAGGAAUCAAAACCACCUGUAAACUUUGCAAACAAAAUUCCAUUAAGAGUUUGAUAAUAGUGUGUUACACUUACAGAAUAAUUUAGGGAGAAAUGGUCUCCUCAACCAGGUAUUUAUCUUAUCUCUUCAUUUUUUCAAGACUUCCUUUAUGUUUCAGUAAAACUUCAUGCUUUUCUUUUUAUAACUCUUUGAUGUUACUAAGUAUAUAUCUAGAAAAUCCGUAGGUUUUAUUGCUAUUGAGAUUUUUUUUUUUUUUUUUUGUCUUUUUGCCAUUUCUUGGGCCGCUCCCACGGCAUAUGGAGGUUCCCAGGCUAGGGGUCCAAUCAGAGCUGUAGCCGCUGGCCUACGCCAGAGCCACAGUGAUACGGGAUCCGAGCCGAGUCUGCAACCCACACCACAGCUCAUGGCAACACUGGAUCCUCAACCCACUGAGCAAGGCCAGGGAUUGAACCUGCAACCUCAUUGUUCCUAGUCGGAUUCAUUAAUCACUGUGCCACGACGGGAACUCAGAAAAUAAGACUUUUUAAAUUACAUUUUUCAGUUGGUUAAACAUGCUAUAUAGGACAGCGCUAUAUAUAUGUAUAUAUUGCUUAUGACUUAUUAUCUUACAAAACUGUCUUAUUGAUUCCUUUGGAUUCUUUUUUUUUUGGAUGGAAAACAAUCAUACAACUGCAAAUAACAAUAGUUUUCUUACUUCUUUUUCAAUAUGUGUACCCCUUUUAUGCCUCUUCUUAUCCCAUUGCAUUUUGAAGAGAAUGAUGACACUAAAGAUUCCCUAUCUCAUAUAUUUUUCCCACCACACAUAUUUUCCCACCCCAUAUAUUGUCAGUCCAUGCCAAUCACCUUACAUACCAUCUUUCAGAAGUUAACAGCUGAAUUUGCUUGUGUUAUAUGACCCUUACUUAUUAAUCACCAUGCCCCAUCUGGAUCACUCACCUAUAUCAUAUUUAUCUUUUUUGGUUUUUUUUGGCUACCCUGCAGCAUAUGGAGUUCUCCUGGGCCAGGGAACAGAUCUGAGCCAUAGUUGUGACCCAAGCUGCAUCUGUGGCAAUGCCAGAUCCUUAAACCACUGUGCUGGGCCAGGGAUGGGACCUGUAUCCCAGUGCUCCCAAGUUGCCCCUGAUCCAAUUGUGCCACAGCAGAAACUCCUUGUAUCUAUCUUUUAAGGCCCAAUUCUAUCCCUUGAUUAAGACUUUCCAUGUCAUGUCCCAAGUUUUUGCCACUGAAAUGCACCAAUUCUGAGAAUCAAAGUAGUGUUAAAACCUGAAAUGCAAUGCAAGAAGUAUCCCUUAAGGAAGGCUGACUGGUUAGCAUAAAGAUGCCUCCCUAGGUGGUAUUCUGUAGGUGAAGUCACCUUAUUUCCUAUUCUGGGACAAACGCAAAACUGAUUAGCAUUUUAGGACACCCCCCCAACCCUGAGAGGUGAGAGGUAAAGAAAACGCUCAUUAUCCAAACUUUAUAAUUUUCUAACCAAAAUGUCCUUUUGCUAAUUAUUUCAACAAGAUGAAAAUUUUCAUUCUCUGAUUAUCAAUUUUUCUUCUUAAUGGUCUGGGCAUGAAGCUACAUUUAUAGAUAACCAGAAGGGUAUUUUGUAGAAUCAAAACAAGUAAGAUUUGAUGUUAUUUUAUAGUUUAUCAAGAAGGGCUGGCUAAAUAAUGGUACAGCUUCACAAUGGAAAAUAUAUCUAAAUUUAUAGUGCUAACAUGAGACACCAUGACAAUAUGAAUAGUAACUAUCAUUUUCAUGAACAAAUUAAACCAUAUUUAUCCUUGAAAUUUUCAGUGAGUAGAACUUAAAUGCACUUACCAAAAAAUAGGUAUAUAAUUUUGUCCAAGGUAGGGUAAUUCAGUUCAACCCCUCUGAGCACAAAUUUGGGGCAGUUAGAUUUCCAGGCACAGUCCCUCCCCUUGGAGUUUAUAGGAGUCCUGAGAGAAUCCACAUGGAUAGAGGUCAGGCAUCUUCCCUAAGGGGCAGUCAAGAGUUGUGAAAUGGAUCAUUAAACUCCAAAGAAUCUAUUUCAUGCUGCAGUCAUAUUCCAGGUAGGGUCUCAGCAAAACAACAUCGUGUCACAUCAAAUAUUGUUCAUGGGACUUAUUUUUACUUUUUUUUUUUCUUUUUAGGGCCACACCCAUGGCAUAUGGAAGUUCCCAGGAUAGAAGUCAAAUUGCCACAGCCACAGCAACACAGGACCCGAGCCGUGUCUGUGACCUACACCACAGCUCACGGCAAUAGCUGAUCCUUAACCCACUGAGCAAGGCCAGGGAUCAAGCCCAUGUUCUCAGGGAUAGUGGUCGGAUUUGUUAACCGCUGAGCCAUGACGGAAACUCCCUUUACUUUGUUUAUAUUGAAUUUGUAAAUACAUUUUGGUUUUAUAGCUAUGUAAGCCUAAGACAUUCUUGGUUUUCUCUAGAAAUUAGGGGUUUUAAAGAUUGAGAAUUCUGAUUAAUAUAUGUAAUUGGAACUACUAAAAUUAAUAAGGGAAACAUCUUUGUUAAGGGAAAAGAAAGUAAUUUUGUUCUAAGAGGUUAAAAAAAUAGAGAAAAAGGGAAAGAAUGGGACAAAAUGUGAAAGUAAAAAAGGAAUUACAGAAGGUUCAUGGAAAAGAAAUGCUGAGAAAAGAAUAUUGUAUGUAAUCAGUACUGGCUAACACUGGAAUAAAUUAAAUUGAAUGAAUAAAUUUUAAUAUUAAAGGUAAGCGCUUUCAAAACUAGAAUUUGGUUUUCUCUCUGUUACGAGGACAGAGUUUUCUUGGAGUAUUAAUCUGCUUUUGAUAAUAGAUUGUAAAGUUUCUUUACCUUUUAAUGCCCUAUAAUAACUUUCUGUAGUUUGCUUUUGAAAUUUUUAUUGUCACUUUGGUUAAAUGAUUAACUGAGUAUGGUUCCACAGUGGCUACGAUCAAGUGUUUCCUUUUAAAACCUUUUGAUAUCUUUGACAAACCUCCCCAAAUAAAAUUGUAAAUGAAGUUA